rnacentral:lncRNA from 1 species
UUCGUCGCCUUUUGAAAUCCAAUAACAACAAUAUUCUUAUAGGGUGGUCUUCCAGAUAUGGUCCAUUUUCACAAAGUACUAAUAAACUAUCUAGCUAAAAUGAAGCUUUGCCUCCCAGGUAUCUUCUAGUCGGGUCUGUUUUGAAGAGUUUGAGGAGUCUGUGAUUAUUUAUCCUGUGGAAUAAAUGUUUUAAUGAUGUUCUUUCAGAAAAAUAAAUAAAAUUAAAAAUCUUGCUUUCAGAAAGUAACGUUUUAUCAGUUAUUUGAUUUGUGAAAAUAAAUAUAAACCGUUUGGUUGCAUGUAGUUGCAACUGCACUGCAGUUGUAACUGUAUGUAAAUACAAAUUUCAUGUUUGGUUUAAUGUAUUUAACUCCAAUCGCUGCAGUAGGAACUGCAGAAGGAGGUUCAACUGCAGCAGCUCGAACUACGCCCAAAUUGGCUGCAGUUCCAACUACAGCAGUUGGAGAGAGUAAUUUUAAAUAACAGAUUUGCUUACCUCCUCAAUAUUUUUUAAACAAAAAUUAAUUUUCUAUUUUACGUUGGAGGUAAUCUCACCAUCAUAUAUAUAAAAAUAAUAAAAUUUUAAAAAUUAUUUCUCAACUGCAUGCAACCAAACAAAUUAUUUAUACUUGCAGUAUUUUCUACUACAUCCAACCAAACAAAAUUCAUGUAGUUAUAACUGCUGUAUUUUCAACUAUAUGCAUCUCUAACUACACUGCAUUUAUAAUUACAUCUACCAAACGGCCCCUAAAAGUAACAGAGCUAUAGCUAAAUAUCACCUUUUUGACUUAGGCCCAAAAUAUUUCAAAGUCGAUCACCUAAAAGCAAGAAGUGCUUAUCUAAAUGGUUAUAUUUGGUUUAACUUUAAUUUUUGAAUUUAUUUUUAGAAUUGAAUUUCAAUUUAAAUUUGAAUUGAAAUCGCAAUUAAAGUUUUACAUUUUUAAUUUUAGUUGUAAUUAAUUUCAAAUUCAACACAAAAUUUUUAAAUUCAAAUUUAUAAAUUUUAUUUCAAUAUAAAAUAAAAACCACAUUUUUGUUUUAAUUUGAAUUCUAUUUUUAAUUUUUUAACUUAAAUUUAAAUUAAAACUUAAAUAUUUAAAUUUAAAAUUUGAGAAAAUUAUUUUUAGCUAGGAACUUCACUUUGAACUUUAAAUUCAAAUUGUUCUAAACUACAAAUUAAAAUUAUUAUCUAUUGAAAAUUGAAUUCAAAAUUUAAAUUUUUACGUUGAAAUUU